rnacentral:rRNA from 1 species
GACGAACGCUGGCGGCGUGCUUAACACAUGCAAGUCGAACGAAGUGGCGAACGGGUGAGUAAUACGUGAGUAACCUGCCCUCCUUUUUGGGAUAAGCCUUGGAAACGGGGUCUAAUACCGAAUAAAGGGGGUUGGGCUAGCGGCCUAUCAGUUUGUUGGUGGGGUGAUGGCCUACCAAGGCGGUGACGGGUAGCCGGCCUGAGAGGGUGACCGGCGACAUUGGGACUGGGAGACGGCCCAGAGUCCUACGGGAGGAGGCAGUGGGGGAUAUUGCACAAUGGGCGAAAGCCUGAUGCAGCGACGCCGCGUGGGGGAUGAAGGCUUUCGGGUUGUAAACCUCUGUCGCUAUCGAGCGGGUAGGUGGAUAAGAAGCGCCGGCUAACUACGUGCCAGCAGCCGCGGUAAUAC